rnacentral:rRNA from 1 species
CCUACGGGAGGCAUCAGUGGGGAAUAUUGGGCAAUGGAGGAAACUCUGACCCAGCGACGCCGCGUGCGGGAUGAAGGCCUUCGGGUUGUAAACCGCUUUCAGUAGGGAAGAAGCGAAAGUGACGGUACCUACAGAAGAAGCACCGGCUAACUAUGUGCCAGCAGCCGCGGUAAUACAUAGGGUGCAAGCGUUGUCCGGAAUUAUUGGGCGUAAAGAGCUCGUAGGUGGUUCGUCACGUCGGAUGUGAAAAUCUGGGGCUCAACCCCAGACCUGCAUUCGAUACGGGCGAUCUAGAGUGUGGUAGGGGAGACUGGAAUUCCUGGUGUAGCGGUGGAAUGCGCAGAUAUCAGGAGGAACACCAAUGGCGAAGGCAGGUCUCUGGGCCAUUACUGACACUGAGGAGCGAAAGCGUGGGGAGCGAACAGGACUAGAUACCCUGGUAGUCCACGCCGUAAACGGUGGGCACUAGUUGUGGGAACCUUCCACGGUUUCUGCGACGCAGCUAACGCAUUAAGUGCCCCGCCUGGGAGUACGAUCGCAAGAUUAAACUCAAGGAAUUGACGGCNGAGAGUGCGACGACGACGACGAGGGAGGAGG